rnacentral:rRNA from 1 species
AGAGUUUGAUCAUGGCUCAGRACGAACGCUGGCGGCGUGCUUAACACAUGCAAAGUCGAACGCGRAGRGGGACUUCGGGUCCUGAGUAARGUGGCGCACGGGUGAGUAACGCGUGGAUAAUCUACCCAAUGAUCUGGGAUAACAUCUCGAAAGGGGUGCUAAUACUGGAUAAGACCACGGAGUCUCUGGAUUCUGCGGUAAAAGGUGGGGACCUUCGGGCCUACCGUCAUCGGAUGAGUCCGCGUACCAUUAGCUAGUUGGUGGGGUAAUGGCCUACCAAGGCUACGAUGGUUAGCUGGUCUGAGAGGAUGAUCAGCCACACUGGAACUGAGACACGGUCCAGACUCCUACGGGAGGCAGCAGUGGGGAAUUUUGCGCAAUGGGGGAAACCCUGACGCAGCAACGCCGCGUGAGUGAUGAAGGCUUUCGGGUCGUAAAGCUCUGUCAGUAGGGAAGAAGUGUAAGGGGUGCUAAUACCAUCUUUACUUGACGGUACCUACAAAGGAAGCACCGGCUAACUCCGUGCCAGCMGCCGCGGUAAUA